GACGAACGCUGGCGGCGUGCUUAAUACAUGCAAGUAGGACGCAGUUGCGAACGGGUGAGUAACGCGUAGGUAACUACCUAUUAGAGGGGUAUAACUAUUGGAAACGAUAGCUAAUACCGCAUACUAGUAGAUGGACUCGCGUUGUUUUAGCUAGUAGGUAGGGUAAUGGCCUACCUAGGCAACAAGACAUAGACGAGCAGAGAGAGUGAACGGCCAAACUGGGACUGAGACACGGCCCAGACGACUACGGGAGGCAGCAGUAGGGAAGCGUCGGAAAUGGGGGGAAACCUGACCGAGCAACGCAGCGUGAGUGAAGAAGGUUUUCGGAUGGUAAAGCUCUAUUGUUAAGGAGGCGGUACUUAACCAGAAAGAGACGGCUAACUACGUGCCAGCAGCCGCGGUAAUAC
rnacentral:rRNA from 1 species